rnacentral:rRNA from 1 species
AACGAACGCUGGCGGCAUGCCUAACACAUGCAAGUCGAACGAGACCUUCGGGUCUAGUGGCGCACGGGUGCUUAACGCGUGGUAACCUGCCCUUAGGUUCGGAAUCACUCCCCGAAAGGGGUGCUAAUACCGGCUAAUUUCUUCGGACCAAAGAUUUAUCGCCUUUGGAUGGGCCCGCGUUGGAUUAGCUAGUUGGUAGGGUAAAUGCCUACCAAGGCGACGAUCCAUAGCUGGUCUGAGAGGAUGAUCAGCCACACUGGGACUGAGACACGGCCCAGACUCCUACGGGAGGCAGCAGUGGGGAAUAUUGGACAAUGGGCGAAAGCCUGAUCCAGCAAUGCCGCGUGAGUGAUGAAGGCCUUAGGGUUGUAAAGCUCUUUUACCCGGGAUGAUAAUGACAGUACCGGGAGAAUAAGCUCCGGCUAACUCCGUG